UACGGGGGGGAGCAAGCGUUGUUCGGAUUUACUGGGCGUAAAGGGCGCGUAGGCGGCCAGCACAAGUCAGUUGUGAAAUCUCCGGGCUUAACUCGGAAAGGUCAACUGAUACUGUGCGGCUAGAGUGCAGAAGGGGCAACUGGAAUUCUCGGUGUAGCGGUGAAAUGCGUAGAUAUCGAGAGGAACACCUGCGGCGAAGGCGGGUUGCUGGGCUGACACUGACGCUGAUGCGCGAAAGCCGGGAGGCGAACGGG
rnacentral:rRNA from 1 species